rnacentral:snRNA from 1 species
CGUUCGUCUCGAGGGCAA